GACGAACCGAGCGAACGUUGUUCGGACUCACUGGGCUUAAAGGGCGCGUAGGCGGGUGAUCAAGUCCGGGGUGAAAUCCUCCAGCUCAACUGGAGAACUGCCUCGGAUACUGGUUGCCUCGAGGAAGGUAGGGGUGUGUGGAACGUUCAGUGGAGCGGUGAAAUGCAUUGAUAUUGAACGGAACUCCGGUGGCGAAGGCGACACACUGGACCUUUUCUGACGCUGAGGCGCGAAAGCUAGGGGAGCGAAAGGG
rnacentral:rRNA from 1 species